AGCCGUUAAAGACGAGGACGAGGCUGCACGAGCGCCGAAGCGCGUGUAUCGAGCUUUCGAAUCGCAAGGAGCGCACGUAAUCUGCUUCAUCUGCCGAUCUACUUAAGCGCAGCCAUGGAGGAAAGUCAGUUCUUGACCGAUAAAGGUGAACAGUCAGAGCUGCUUCUGAGCAGCACAGUCGACAGCAAC